rnacentral:tRNA from 1 species
GCCCUUCUUCAAACUUGCAUUUUGACGUGAACCACCUCGGGACUGAUAAAAAGAGGAAUUA